CUGGGGCCUGGCUCCCCUUGAGCUCCGAAUGCAACCCCGCCGCAGCCAGGCCGGCCGCCGAGCGCUGGGCUGCGUGGUCCUGGAGCGCAGGAGGCAGGCCAGCCCCCGCGCAAACCCCCAGCCCUCCGUCUGGACCCCAGGGCCCGGCUGGGUCAGAGUCACUGAUCCCGUUUUCAGUGGAGGAAACCGAGGCUCAGAGAGUCACCGCCGGAGCUGGCCUGUCAUGGGCCGUGAUGUGGCCCCGCUGUGGGUUUGAGUCCAGGCCAACCUGGCCCCAAAGGCUGUUCUUGCACAGGAGCCUGAGGCUCUGAGUCCGGCCUUGGAGGCUGACAUGGAUGCAGGGCGUCCCUCACCUGCUGGUUGGAGAGCAGUGAGAAGCUGACGUUGCAGACCCUGAGACCCCGCCCUCAUGUGUCCACGGCUGCCAAGGGCGUGUGGAGCUGAAGACGAGGGCUGCUGGAGGCCGAGGGCCGUGGGGAUGCUGAGGACGGAACGUCUACUCCUGGCCCCCGAGGAGUGGAGGAUCAGCAGAGCCCAGACCCCGCAGGGCGCCCCGUGCCAGCGUCCACCUCCAGGGGCUUCUAGGAGCUGGGGCGUCUUGGUCCCCUCUGGGUAUGGAGGGAGUGAAGU